UACGUAGGGUGCGAGCGUUGUCCGGAAUUAUUGGGCGUAAAGGGCUCGUAGGCGGUUUGUCGCGUCGGGAGUGAAAUCCACUGGCUUAACUGGUGGCUUGCUUUCGAUACGAGCAGACUGGAGGUAUGCAGGGGAGAACGGAAUUCCUGGUGUAGCGGUGAAAUGCGCAGAUAUCAGGAGGAACACCGGUGGCGAAGGCGGUUCUCUGGGCAUGUCCUGACGCUGAGGAGCGAAAGUGUGGGGAGCGAACAGG
rnacentral:rRNA from 1 species